rnacentral:lncRNA from 1 species
GUGCCUACAGAGGAGCCUGGCUCCUAGGGCUACAAAUUUGAAUUUCAGAGGAGGAGGAGCAGGAGCAGAGCUGAGAAAGGAAAGGGGGCUGGUUAGACAGCCCCGGAGGACACCCGUCUCGGCUGCUGCUUUCCAGAACGCCCCAGCAUUGAGGGCCAGCAACCAGCCCACCGGGGCAGCCACAGGACAGAGAAACAGAGCCGAGAAUCUGGUGCUGGUUCCGAAGACACCCGCACAGCAGCCCUGCAACCGGACCACCUUCUGCCUACGGUGGGAACCCAGGCACGGGUGCAAGGAGGGUCGGGAACAGUUCCAUGCACCCUAGAGCAUCUCAGGGUAGCACAGGGACGUGGCAGCCCUGCCCCCGGCUGCUCUCAAGCUCUGGAGGACAGAAGUUUGAAAUCCAUCUCGUCGCCCUAAAGCCAAGGUGUCCAGAGGGCUGGUCCCUUCUGCAAAGCUGCAUCCUGUCUUUUCUAGCUUCGGAAGGCCCCCAAAUGCUUUGGCUUCUGGCCCCUUCUUCAGCUCACUUGCAGCUGUUUUCACGCCUCCUGCUUCCUCCCCUGGCCCGGCCGGCCUCUCUUAUGAGGGCACGUGUGAUGACAUUUAAGAUUCACCGAAUUCAGGAUCAUCUCAGGAGCUUUACCUUAAUCACACCUGCCAGUCCUUUCUGCCAUCUAAAGGACCAUCCACAGGUUCUGGGAGUUAAAAUGUGUUUAUCUGGGGGGGGUGGUUAUUCAGCCUACCAUUGGGCAUGGGGUUUGGGAUGUGUUAAGCCUAGAUGCCCGGUAGAUACGCAAGGAGAGAGGCCAAGAAGGCAGUGAUAGGCAAGAAUGCGGAAUUCAGAGGAGAGUCCAGGCUGGAGCCGAAAGCUGGGAGGUCCUGAGUGUGCAGGUGGCCGUGAAACUGUCCACAGUCAUCCUGAGACCAUCUUUUCCUCGAGUUGAAGAAACACCUCCCAAAACACACAUCGAGACAGGAGCAAAUUUUCUUUUGUCUUUUUUUUUUUUUUUUUUUUUUUUUUUUUUUUUGUCUUUUUACGGCCACACUUGCAACAUAUGGAGGUUCCCAGGCAAGGGGUCGAAUGGGAGCUGUAGCUGCCAGCUGACACCACAGCCACAGCAACGCAGGAUCUGAGCCGGGUCUGCGACCUACACCACAGCUCACGGCAGUGCCGAAUCCUUAACCCACUGGCAAGACCAGGGAUUGAACCUGCAACCUCAUGGUUCCUAGUCGGAUUCGUUUCCACUGGGCCAUGACAGGAACUCCAAAGGAGCAAAUUUUCAAUAAGACAAUUAAUAGACUAAAAGCAGGGAUGUCAGGAAUCCCACAACAACAACAACCGAAAAAAAAAAAAAAAAGAGAGAGAGAGAGAGAGAGCAAGAAAACAGAAGAGAUGAAAUUAUCAAAGAAAAUUUUAAGAAAAACUUCCAGGAGUUCCUGUCAGGGCUCAGUGGUUAGCUAACCUGACUGAUAUCCAUGAGGACAUGGGUUUGAUCCCUGGUCCCCCUCAGUGGGUUAAGGAUCUGGUGUUUCUGUGCUGCAGGCCAGCAGCUACAGCUCUGAUUGGACCCCUAACCUGGGAACCUCCGUAUGCCACGAGUGUGGCCCUAAAAAGACAAAAAAAUGGAGUUCCCAUCGUGGCUCAGUGGUUAACGAAUCUGACUAGGAACCAUGAGGUUGCAGGUUCAAUCCCUGGUCUUGCCAGUGGGUUAAGGAUUCGGCACUGCCGUGAGCUGUGGUGUAGGUUGCAGAAAAGGCUCAGAUCCCAAUGGAAGCAGCCCAAGAAACAGCAAAAAA